rnacentral:rRNA from 1 species
AUGAAGAAACGUCCUCAACUAGCACGAAAAGCCGACUCCAACGAGGAUACUCCGAUAAGGCUUGCCGUCUGUUACAACAAGGUUGGGGUGCUGCGGGAAUUGCUGCAACAUGAUAUUUCAUUAGGGUAUGAAGUAAACAACCAAGGUUUUACUCUCCUUACUAGUGCCGCAACUCGAGGUCAUGUUGGUGUUGCUCGAGAGCUUCUUAACCAUUGUCCAGAUGCUCCUUAUCGCCAUGUACACCAUCAAGAAUUGACAUGCCUUCAUUCAGCUGUACAAAAUGGUCAUACGAAGUUUAUUGAGUUUAUCCUCCAGACACCGCAACUUCAGCGUCUCGUUAAUAUGCAAGACAGCAGCGGAAGAACCGCUCUACAUUACGCAGUCGAGAGGUGCAAUCCCAGAACAGUUGCUGCUUUAUUGUCUUGCAAGGGUAUAGACACAACAAUAUUUGACAUUCAUGGUGAAUCCGCUGCUUCCCUAUUGUCAGGCAUCACCAGCCACGAGAAGAAUUUGGACUGGUAG